UCCCUCUUAGCUCAGUUUGUAGAGCGCGUCACUAGUAAUGACGAGGUCAGUCGUUCAAGUCGGCUAGAGGGAA
rnacentral:tRNA from 1 species